CACAGAGGGUGCGAGCGUUAAUCGGAAUUACUGGGCGUAAAGCGUGCGUAGGCGGUUGGCAAAGUCAGCUGUGAAAGCCCCGGGCUUAACCUGGGAAUGGCGGUUGAAACUAGUCGACUAGAAUCUGGCAGAGGGGGGUGGAAUUCCACGUGUAGCAGUGAAAUGCGUAGAGAUGUGGAGGAACACCGAUGGCGAAGGCGGCAUCCUGGACCGGUAUUGACGCUGAGGCGCGAAAGCCAGGGGAGCAAACGGG
rnacentral:rRNA from 1 species